UAGAGUUUGAUCCUGGCUCAGGAUGAACGCUAUCUACAGGCUUAACACAUGCAAGUCGAGGGGAAACGACAUCGAAAGCUUGCUUUUGAUGGGUGUCGACCGGCGCACGGGUGAGUAACGCGUAUCCAACCUGCCCACCACUUGGGGAUAACCUUGCGAAAGUAAGACUAAUACCCAAUGAUAUCCCACGAAGGCAUCCGAAUGGGAUUAAAGAUUUAUCGGUGAUGGAUGGGGAUGCGUCUGAUUAGCUUGUUGGCGGGGUAACGGCCCACCAAGGCGACGAUCAGUAGGGGUUCUGAGAGGAAGGUCCCCCACAUUGGAACUGAGACACGGUCCAAACUCCUACGGGAGGCAGCAGUGAGGAAUAUUGGUCAAUGGGCGAGAGCCUGAACCAGCUAAGUAGCGUGCAGGAUGACGGCCCUAUGGGUUGUAAACUGCUUUUAUAAGGGAAUAAAGUGAGUCUCGUGAGACUUUUUGCAUGUACCUUAUGAAUAAGGACCGGCUAAUUCCGUGCCAGCAGCCGCGGUAAUACGGAAGGUCCGGGCGUUAUCCGGAUUUAUUGGGUUUAAAGGGAGCGUAGGCCGGAGAUUAAGCGUGUUGUGAAAUGUAGUGGCUCAACCUCUGCACUGCAGCGCGAACUGGUCUUCUUGAGUACGCACAACGUGGGCGGAAUUCGUGGUGUAGCGGUGAAAUGCUUAGAUAUCACGAAGAACUCCGAUUGCGAAGGCAGCUCACGGGAGCGCAACUGACGCUGAAGCUCCAAAGCGCGGGUAUCCAACAGGAUAAAAUACCCUGGUAGUCCCCACGGUAAACGAUGGAUGCCCCCUGUUGGCCUGAAAAGGUCACCGGCCAAACAAAACAUUAAACCUCCCCCCUGGGGAAUACCCCGCCACCGUGGAAACUCCAAAGGAAUUAAGGGGGCCCCCAAAACCGAAAGAAAAGUUGAUUAAAUUCAAUAAAACCCCAAGAA
rnacentral:rRNA from 1 species